rnacentral:lncRNA from 1 species
CUCUUCUGUGUUUCUGUCUGUAGCCUGUGUGCCUCCCUUUUGGACCAGUUGGAAAGCUGUGGGCUGGUUACUAUGGGAAUUGAUGGGUGCUGCUGGCAGUGGGAGAUGGAAAGUUCUUGGAAUUGAUCCAAAAAUCCUAGGCGAGCAGGGUUUUUUUUCUCCUCUGGCUUCCCUGCUUAGCAUUCUUUGAUUUGAUCAAAUAACUGGCGUUUAGCUUGGGAAGAACAUUUCCAGCAACUCAUCUCUGGUGUCCCAGGGAGAGGCGGAGUGGGGCUCUCCAAGGAGACUUUACAGAGAAGAGAGUUUGAACUCAGAAUUAAAUUGAAAUUUCUCUUUUUUUUUUUUUUCGUAUAUUUAACUUUUUUUUGGGGGGGGGGUCUUUUUUUUGUUAUUUCUUUGGGCCGCUCCCGCGGCAUAUGGAGGUUCCCAGGCUAGGGAUCCAAUCGGAGCUGUAGCCACUGGCCUACGCCACAGCCACAGCAACGCGGGAUCCGAGCCGCGUCUGCAACCUACACCACAGCUCAUGGCAACGCCGGAUCCUUAACCCACUGAGCAAGGGCAGGGACCGAACCCGCAACCUCAAGGUUCCUAGUCAGAUUCGUUAACCACUGAGCCACCACGGGAACUCCCUCUGUUUCUUUUUACAGUGUCAAGGAGUGUGUUCCACACGAGAAGAGGGGAAAGUCAGUAUUUUGUUCCAGAUUCACAACCUUUUCCUCUUCUUUUCUGCUGCCACCCCUCACUAAAAAGGGGGGUAGGGUGGGGAGGGUUCUGUUUUUGUUAUAAGUUUGUUGAUUCUGAAAUGUUGGAGAUAGAAAACAGAUGUUUUAAUGAGGUGAUAGCCACACUGGAAAAUAACGAGUUCAAAAGAUGUUUUAUAAGUCAACUUUCAUUAAUUUGAUUAAUCAAUAACUCUAAAAAGCUCUUCUAGAGUGUAUGCUAGUUUAUUUUUAUAACUACUCAUGAAUAUGGAAUGUAAAGCAUUGAUUUAUUCUUCUAAGAAAAGUAUUUGGCUUGGUGAUAGAAGAAUAUUAAAGUACCGUGGACAUUAUUAAGUUUGAAAGGACAGAAUUUUUUCCCCUGACAUUUUUGGUUUCAGUUCACUGUUUUCUGUUGUUUCUGAUUUUGUUAGCACUAAUGAAAACCUUAUUCAGGGAACAUUUUUUCUUUUGAUUUUAAGAGAUUUUGUUGAAUUCCUUCCUGAAAGGUAAGAAGGAUGUCUAGGUCUCUUCACACCUUGACUUGGGGGUCUUGGAGGCGAUGACUCACGUGGCAGAGCAGCCUUGUGAUUUGGAUGGUUUAUUUUUAGAGACUUUAAUAUUCCCUUUUAAUAUAUUCAAUUCCUGUUCUAUGGGGGGAGGAGGGACUGGAAAGAAGGGCCUGCCACGCAGAGGUCUUGCCUUCUUCCAGCUACUGAUCAGGGAGAUAAAAUGAUGGAAAAAAUUAAAGUACAGGGGAGGGUGUGGGAGGUUGUGUUAGAGAUGAAUUGAUGAAGUGGGGCGGAGCCUCCAACGCUAAGCAACCUUCCUUGGGGAAACUACAGAGGUGUAGGUAGCAGCUGAGGGCUGGAGCCUUCCUCUGUCUCCAGACUUCGCUGAGUUGCAGCUAUUAUGCUUUGAACUGGAUCUUAAAGAGGAUGCAGCAGUUCAACAGGUGUUUUCCUUUGUUUCUCAGCCUCGGACUCAGUGCUUUGAUUUUUUUUUUUUUUAACUUAAAGCUGCCAGUGAAGGAGGAGUGUCCGAUGGGAGAGACAGAAGGGAACACAGGGUGCGAUGGGGGCCCAGAGAGAGGAAGGGCGGCCACUCCUGAGGAAGGGAUAUGGGGCCUGAGGGACCCAGGGCAUGGGAGUCAGAGUUCUAUAGCGACUCCCGUGGACCAGUGAGAAAGCUGAGGCUCGUGGCGUGUCAUUUCCUUUUCCAAGGUCAGACCUCUGCUGUUGUCAGCAUUGAGGUUUGAACCCAGGGCAGCAGAAUAUUGUCCAAAAACCUCUAAAGCUUGCAGGGUACUUAUUAUGGCCCCUGUGUUGGUCUGAUUGAGGUUGGGGAGGCAAGCACCUUGCUCGGGGCCUGACUUGCACAUGGCAGAGUUGAGAUUUCAGUGAUGUUUGUUUCCAAAGGACACUCCUCUUCCACAUAGUGCGCCCUGUGGCAUUUCAGCAGAUGGGGCAUUAACAAAGGCUCCAAGAAGAGGCUUCCCUUCAAUUAGGGAUAGUAGGGUGGAUGCACCUUGGAAUUACAGAGAGCUGUCAGUGGGCCCUUAAUGCAGAUUGGAUAUAAGAGAAAAGGCAGGGAUAAAGGUAAAGUGAAGAGUGUGUUUAGUAAGGGGACAGUUCGAUUUGCCUGGAGUGAUGGCUCUGUGGAGAGGUAUAGAGGCAGAUGAGCUGGAAAAUCAGCUUGGAACUUGUCUAGGACUUGGAAUCUCUAGUUAAAAAAUUCAGACUCUUUUUACAUAAGUGUUGAGAAACCAUUGUUGGAUUUGGGGCAGAUGAAGGUGGCUGCCACAGAGGUAGAAGGUAUGAUUUCUUUUCCAUACUGAUUUAUCUUUAGCUAUAUCUUUGGAUGAAACAAAAUUGUUUUAAAUUCUUUAAGAGAGAGAGCCAGGGAAAGUUAAGAUUCAGUAGGAAAAAAAUAUAAGGUUUACUGUCUAGGCAAGACAUAAAACUUAGAUGAUUAAGGGCAGCACCCAUGGCACAUGGAGGUUCCCAGGCUAGGAGCCAAAUCGGAGCUAUAGCUGCCAGCCUACACCACAGCUGUGCCAGAUCCAAGCCACAUCUGCAACCUACACCACAGUUCAUGGCAGUGCUGGAUCCUGAACCCACUGAGCGAGGCCAGGGAUUGAACCUGCAUCCUCAUGGAUACUAGUCGGGUUCGUUACCGACGAUCCCCAACCAGAACUCCAUGGACUCUAAUUCUGGUUGUAUAAAUGUUCAGAAUAUUGUCAGUUUGGUUCAUGGCUCUGAGAUAACUGGAAACGUCGUAUUGUCAUAAAUCUAUUUGAAACGAGGAUGUUUCUGUGACUUGCUUUGCAUAUUCCACCUCUAAGUCAGCUCUAGGUAGGGGGUUAUUUAUGGGUCUUUUUCAGAUCCAGUCUUGCGUAAGGAGUCUUUCCCAGGGUCGUAAGGCUGGCCGAAGCAUUAAGAGGGGGCCUCUGUGUCGCCUUCCCUGGGCUGGCUUCCCAAGUCCCAAAGAAGACUCAGUUCCAGCCAGACCCAUGGUGGCUGUUGUGCUUGUGUUACUGCCCGGAAGUUCCCAGAGGGGUCUGUUUCACCCUUUAGCCAGCUAGAUUAUUUAUAAAGAUAGAGCCAUCAUACUGCUGUUUGGAGAGGGUUCUACUUUUAUAUGUCUUAGUAAACAUUUUCUCGUUUAUUAGUAUAAGGAGAAAACUUGUUCAGAACUAGCUAGGACUCACUGUAAAGCGCAUUUUUAUUUUCCUUCGAGCCUAGAAGUGGUGACACAGAAGAAUGCCACCUCGAGGUUCCUACAGUCAGGUACUUUGUUCAUCAUUGUUUCUCCACGGCCGAGCAGAUACAGUAAGUCCUAAAUCUGGGCCUGUUGAUGAAUGUUAGAUGGAUCUUAGAGUAACUAUUGUAAUCGAUGGGAAAACUGGUCAAGUUUUUAAUUAAGACUCCUUUCUCGUGGGUUCUACUGGUUUUGCUAGUGAUAAAGAUUUUUAAAUGCUCUUUUGAUAUGUUGCUUAAAAAUAUGAACAACACUUUAAAAUUUCUUUUAGAUAAAAUAACCAAAUAGAAUAGAAGUAACUGCAAAUAUAGAAUCUUUUAGGCUAAUUUGAAAAAUAUAGAACAUUGGCAUUCUCUUCCAUUCCCUUUAGAAAGGGUCACCACCCUAAAUUAAGAUAAUCUCUUUUCUAGCCAAGAUUUCAUUUACUUGACUCAAAGCCCAGAAUAUAGAUGGAAAUGCAAGAAAGUUUGCCAAAGUGUAGAGCAAUAAUGGGAUUUUUUUUUUUUUUUUUGCCCCAGCCACUUGGAAUUUAUUUUUGUAAUUCUAGUAAUUAAUUAUGAAAAAGUGUUACCUUGUUAACAUUUAAUAAUGAGAAAUUUGAAAUAAAUGUAUAUAAAAAUUAAAUAUGAUUUGUUUUUCUGACGGCAAGGUAACAGCAGAAUAUGAGGGAAAUACGUUUACCUGCGGAUUCAGUCACCCUAAGAGAGGCUGUUUCUGACCUUUUGCAUUUUCUUCAAGAUAAGGUAGCAUUGUGAUGUGGCGGGAUGCACACUGAUGGGAUUGUUGAAAUACUCUUUGGAAGCUUGUGGCUGUCAUUCAUCUGGAAGCCAGUUUAUAGGAACAGGUGGGGAGAUAAAUUUUUGUGCUUACAGCUCUUGAGUUCAAAAAGUCUUUUUGACUUGAUUUUUGUACUAAAAGAAAUUUCAGUGUGUCCUUCCAUCUCUGAAAAUACUUAGCCUUUCAUAACUCCAUUUUAUAAUUUUGCAGCCCCGUCUCUAGUGUGAGAGGGUUCGUUAAUGCGUUAUCCAUAAGACCUUAGUAGUAUUCUGGGCACUGCCUGUUGUUUUUAGAAUAUUUUAUAAGGAAAUAAUCUUUGAGGCUAAUUAAUAUAUUGGUUUUGAAAUCUGGUUAAAUUUAAUCAUUGACAAAGAUUUUUAAUACGUGUUGUAGUUUCUUAUAAUCUUCCUGAGGGGCUUUUGAAAGGGUCAAAAUAAAAUUGGUUUUUAAACAGAAGCCGCUAAUCAGACUGAAGCAGAAGACACUGCAGAUGUUGAAUAUACUUGAGAUAAUUUCUGUAAUAGAACCUUUGGAAAAGCAACAGAUGUGCUUGUAGAAUUCCUUCCUGGACACUGUCAUGACCAAAUGAUUUUUCUUGAUGAUUACAGUCUUGUUAUGUUAAGUGAAUUAAGCAAAAUAAUUUCUCUUAAGUAGAAUUGAGACUUUAAAGACCAAAGUAAACUCAGAAUCUUAUGUGCCAUAUACGUAUAUCUGUAGCCGUAGUGGCAACUUCCCUUUUCUUGGAAAGAAAGGAAGUCACAGGGACAGCUCCCAUACAGUGGUGCCACACUCUUCCGUCCGAGCCCACUGUUACCCUCCUGGUGCUGAAAAGAACUUGCACAGGGACCCUUUCCUCAUGAGCGCUCUGCAGUCUGUCCAUCCCUUGGCACUUGCCUGAGUGGGAGGGGGAAGAAGAGCCUAGCAGUUUUAACCUCUGGGACCCACAGGUGAUAAGUAACAUGUAAAAUCCUGACAGUCUUGGAAAUGUUUUACUUUAGUUAUCAUUUUCUAUCCGGGCUGUAGAACUACUGAAGUCAUGAACAGAAUAAGACAUUUGGAAGGUUAGAUGUCAGUAGUGUUAGAACAUUCCAUUUUUUUGUGUUUAGAUACUCUGAACUGGGGAUCUGGUGUUUGCAUCUAUUUAGCAGGUGCAUCAGGACAGAGCCAAGCAGUUCAUGUUCCAGGAGGUGAUACCCGUGACCACCUCUUAGAUGCCCUGAGGCUUUUCAAAUAGUGUGGGGCUACUGCCCUUCCCAUCUCUCCGGGACACAAAGAAUGACUUCAUUCACUUCAGUGAGACCAGUAUAAAAUUCUCAAUCAAAUUAGCAUUCAUUCUGG